UCGAUGCGAGCGGUCCGUCGCCCGUGACAUCACAAGAAGUCCACUAAACAUUAUCAUUUAGAGAAAGGAGAAGUCAUAACAAGGUUUCCAUAGGUGAACUUGUGGAAGGAUCAUUG
rnacentral:rRNA from 1 species